rnacentral:rRNA from 1 species
CAGCAGCCGCGGUAAUACGUAGGGUGCGAGCGUUCAUCGGAUUUACUGGGCGUAAAGCGUGCGCAGGCGGCCCGUUAAGACAGGUGUGAAAUCCCUGGGCUCAACCUAGGAAUUGCGCUUGUGACUGGCGGGCUCGAGUACGGUAGAGGGGGGUGGAAUUCCUGGUGUAGCAGUGAAAUGCGUAGAGAUCAGGAGGAACACCGAUGGCGAAGGCAGCCCCCUGGGCCUGUACUGACGCUCAUGCACGAAAGCGUGGGGAGCAAACAGGAUUAGAUCCCCUGGUAGUCCACGCCCUAAACGAUGGGUACUAGCCGUUUGGUGCGCGAUAGCGCUGAGUGGCGAAGCUAACGCAUUAAGUGCCCCGCCUGGGGAGUACGGCCGCAAGGUUGAACCUUAAAGGAAUUGGCGGG